ensembl:snRNA predicted gene, 23226
GUGUUGUUUGAAAGGAGAGAAGAUCAGCACACCCCUUGACAAGGAUGGAAGACGCCCUUGGCCUAGUAAUAUGCAUAUGGUUAAGGCAUUGCCAACUGCUCUGCAGCAGGUAACCAUUGUCUUUU